GACGAACGCUGGCGGCGUGCUUAACACAUGCAAGUCGAACGGAAAGGCCCUGCUUUUGUGGGGUGCUCGAGUGGCGAACGGGUGAGUAACACGUGAGUAACCUGCCCUUGACUUUGGGAUAACUUCAGGAAACUGGGGCUAAUACCGGAUAGGAGCUCCUGCUGCAUGGUGGGGGUGGGAAAGUUUCGGCGGUUGGGGAUGGACUCGCGGCUUAUCAGCUUGUUGGUGGGGUAGUGGCUUACCAAGGCUUUGACGGGUAGCCGGCCUGAGAGGGUGAGCGGCCACAUUGGGACUGAGAUACGGCCCAGACUCCUACGGGAGGCAGCAGUGGGGAAUAUUGCACAAUGGGCGGAAGCCUGAUGCAGCAACGCCGCGUGCGGGAUGACGGCCUUCGGGUUGUAAACCGCUUUCGCCUGUGACGAAGCGUGAGUGACGGUAAUGGGUAAAGAAGCACCGGCUAACUACGUG
rnacentral:rRNA from 1 species